AUUGAACGCUGGCGGCAUGCCUUACACAUGCAAGUCGAACGGUAACAGGUCUUCGGAUGCUGACGAGUGGCGAACGGGUGAGUAAGCCAUCGGAACGUGCCCGAGAGUGGGGGAUAACGAGGCGAAAGCUUUGCUAAUACCGCAUACGAUCGCAGGAUGAAAGCAGGGGACCGCAAGGCCUUGCGCUCACGGAGCGGCCGAUGGCAGAGUAGGUGGUUGGUGGGAUAAAAGCUUACCAAGCCGACGAUCUGUAGCUGGUCUGAGAGGACGACCAGCCACACUGGGACUGAGACACGGCCCAGACUCCUACGGGAGGCAGCAGUGGGGAAUUUUGGACAAUGGGUGCAAGCCUGAUCCAGCCAUGCCGCGUGCAGGAUGAAGGCCUUCGGGUUGUAAACUGCUUUUGUACGGAACGAAAAGACUCUGGUUAAUACCUGGGGUCCAUGACGGUACCGUAAGAAUAAGCACCGGCUAACUACGUGCCAGCCGCCGCGGUAACAC
rnacentral:rRNA from 1 species